rnacentral:rRNA from 1 species
CCUACGGGAGGCAGCAGUGGGGAAUUUUGGACAAUGGGCGCAAGCCUGAUCCAGCAAUGCCGCGUGAGUGAAGAAGGCCUUCGGGUUGUAAAGCUCUUUUGUCAGGGAAGAAACGGCUGAGGUUAAUACCUUUGGCUAAUGACGGUACCUGAAGAAUAAGCACCGGCUAACUACGUGCCAGCAGCCGCGGUAAUACGUAGGGUGCAAGCGUUAAUCGGAAUUACUGGGCGUAAAGCGUGCGCAGGCGGUUUUGUAAGUCUGACGUGAAAUCCCCGGGCUCAACCUGGGAAUUGCGUUGGAGACUGCAAGGCUGGAGUCUGGCAGAGGGGGGUAGAAUUCCACGUGUAGCAGUGAAAUGCGUAGAGAUGUGGAGGAACACCGAUGGCGAAGGCAGCCCCCUGGGUCAAGACUGACGCUCAUGCACGAAAGCGUGGGGAGCAAACAGGAUUAGAUACCCUGGUAGUCCACGCCCUAAACGAUGUCUACUAGUUGUCGGGUCUUAAUUGACUUGGUAACGCAGCUAACGCGUGAGUAGACCGCCUGGGGAGUCGGUCGCAAGNUUAAACUUAAAGUAGUUAGUUAGCGNGNGNGNGCGACGACGACGACGACGGAGGAGGAG